rnacentral:rRNA from 1 species
CCUACGGGAGGCAGCAGUAGGGAAUCUUCCACAAUGGACGAAAGUCUGAUGGAGCAACGCCGCGUGAGUGAAGAAGGGUUUCGGCUCGUAAAGCUCUGUUGGUAGUGAAGAAAGAUAUAGGUAGUAACUGGCCUUUAUUUGACGGUAAUUACUUAGAAAGUCACGGCUAACUACGUGCCAGCAGCCGCGGUAAUACGUAGGUGGCAAGCGUUGUCCGGAUUUAUUGGGCGUAAAGCGAGUGCAGGCGG